CUGAAUGGAUAGAAGAACCUCCCACAGAGGUACAUUCUCACAUGUUAUAGUAACACUACCCCCCAAAAAACCCCCAAAGGGUUCUGCAGAAUGAGCUAAGUUGGCACUUUAUAAACGAUGUUUAUGCUUAGAGUCGAUUUUCGUUAUGUCGGAGCACGUUUUAUAAAACUUAUAAUUUUUUUAUUUAAUCGCCGUAAGCACGUUCGGGAAUGUUCUUUCCGAGCACACUCGAUAAAGCGUCGCACGUGCGCGAAGCACUUCGUCGGCCCAGUCACGGAUCUCUCCGGUGUUCUAUCACUAUAAAGAUUGUCAUUGGACCAACAAAACAAAUUAUGAUUUUAAACCGAGUAUUCUAACAGGAUUCCUGCCGCUCGCUGACCGCGCUUCUGACAGUCGUUGUUUCUGAAUGUUCCAAGCAAAGCCGUAGUCCUGAUAAUUACUGUGUUCUGGAAUGAAAUUACCCUUUUAAGGGUAAGGGCAAACCACACUUGUGCUGAUUAAAGCCAACCAUGUUGCCUCCAUUGGGGCAAAAAAGCUGCACUUAAACACACUGAAAGGGCUACAGGCUAGCAUGUGCAUUUUGCACCUUUGUGUAAAAAUAACUGUAUUAAAGGAGAUGUAUUUGAAAAAGAUUUGGAUUUGGAUAUUUUAAAAAGAGAAACUCACUACAGCCUGCAGAUACACAAAGUGUAAUCAGAGCAGCACAUGUUCUCGCUUUGACGAUCAAUCAUGCUGAUCACUUUCUUUAUUUCCCUCUGCUUGUGUUAAUAUUAAAAUAUUUUCUCAUGGGAAUGCACAGGCAACACAACUUAACAGCCUUCAGUCUGUGCCGUCUUGACUUCUUUGUUUGCUAUCAUCACAGGGCUACAAACUAAAAAUCUAUUAAGGAGCAACUGCAAGUGGUCUGAUUUUAUUAAGUCAACACAACAAAAGGUGUGAUGGGCUACUCGUCACAGAACAUGCCAGUAAAUAGACAUGCAAUUUUUGAUCAUAAAGAAUAUUUUUAUAGUCACUAGUGGCAAUCUCGCCGACUAUAUCACUUGCAAAUUAAUAUUUUUGGUCACAAAUGCAACCAUUUUAAUUGCAGUCUGAAGCCCUGCAUCAUUCUUUUGCACUGAUGCAUUUGCUAAACUGAGCCGAUUUCUUCCUUUCAUCGAUGGCCCGAUGCCAUUUUGAUAGGGGUUUGAGUGGUAUUGUAAGAAUAUAUUUUAGUUAUUUAUAAAUGUAGUUAUGGAAAAUAGACAAGCUUUAUAUAAUAAUAAAUUCACAACAUUUACAUGAAAAGUACUUCACUUUAUUUGAUUUCUCUUUUUAGCAUCUCGGUCUCACUCAUGCUUCACACUAGUUAGCCACACCCAAUUAUUUACAUGUCGCGACACCAUACUUAAAAAAUGUUAUGGUUAACAUUUUAUACUGUGGUAAAGAUAUAUGUAUCGUCAUACCGCCUAGCCCUACGAUUCAACAUGCUGAAACAGGCUGAAAAACUGUGUCUGACUAGAGCCAAUGGUGCGGACACUUGGCCUACCACCACUCAAAAGAUUUAGAAAUGUAGACUUUUCACAACAUUUUUAAGUAGCCUGUAGAUUGUAUUUAUAGCAAACCAGUAAGAGGUGUUUCUUCCUCUCCAAGACAGGAGUUCAGACGCAAAAUCACAAUGAUUGUCAAAGCACAAUUUCGGAAUCAGAAGAAGUUCAUAAAAAUCCCAGAGGCUUGCUUUUGAUUUGUUUAUAGCAGAGGCGAAAGAGAAGUUCUCAAUACCAGAAGAUCUUGCAGUGACAGUUACAGAUGAAACUGGCACAGAGGUGGAUAAAGAUGUGUUUCCUGAUGUAGAGACCACCAGUGGAUUGAUUUUUGUCAUAAAUGAAUUGACACAGCAGGACCUUCCACACCUCAAUCUUCAGUCAGCUUAGAUACAGAUACACUCUCUCUGACUUCAAAAAGCAGUGCCAGUGAGGACAGUGACUGGUUUAGUCCAAAACGAUUCAGAAAGGAUGAUGAUGAGGCUUCACAAAGCACACAGGCCAGAGAUUUGAUAAAAACAAAUUCUACAGACAAGACCGGUGUGCUUACAAAUGUGCUUAAGGAGUAUGAAGAUGCAGGGACAAUUAGUGAUGACACGAGAAAAGUGAUGGUGAACAUCUUAGUUGCACACAUGAUUGAAACAGAAGGGUAAUUAUCAAAAUAUAAUUGUCUUGGGUUGUUGAUUUGUUCGUGAUUAUGACAAUACAUAGAUUGUGAAGUAUAUUGAUCUAGUUGGGUGUUACAAAUUUUAUUCUGCUAAUUUUCUAGCUGAUAACCUGUUGAUUUUGUUCUGAAAGUUAGAGUAGUUUAGUUAAAUAUUAUAAAAUUUUUUAAUCAAUAUAUAGUAACAUUGGAGUGUUCCCAUUCUUCAGGAGAGUCCCACAUCGACAUACCAAACAGAAUUACUCUCUCACUCACUCACUCAUUUUCUACCGCUUAUCCGAACUUCUCGGGUCACGGGGAGCCAGGCGUCAUCGGGCAUCAAGGCAGGAUACACCCUGGACGGAGUGCCAACCCAUCGCAGGGCACACACACACUCUCAUUCACUCACUCAAUCAAACAGAAUUAUGGUUUGGGAAUUAUCACCUUGUUUCCCUCACUCAGAGAUCCCCAAGGGAGGACUGGAUAUGCAAGUGAUUAUCAAUGAUCAGGGCAUUCAAUAUUUUUGUUGUCAUUUUGAAGUGUUUUUCUAGUAAGUUGUAAUUUUCAUGCGAGAGUUAAAUUAAGAUUUUGUCAUUUGUCAGGAACAUUUUUAUGAUGGCCAAAAAAACACUGGAUUCUUGUCGUGGCCCCUCAAGACAGUACAAAGGGGGAUGAAAGCUUCUGCAAAUAAAGAUGAUCCAAAAACAGAGGAAAAAGGAGGCCCUUUGCUUGACAGACAGUCGUGUUACCAUGAAGAUCAGCUGGAUGAUGAUCAAAGUCUAGAGGCCAUCUCUUUGAUGAAUCAUACAAGCGAACGUGAGGUCAUUAUGCAGAAAAUGAGGGCAACGUUUGAAUACAGACAGCGCCUUGUCCAUGAUCCAGAGAGAUCCACCGCCGUUCUCUGUUUUUCCUAGAUUUCUGGAUACUAAAGGAUUGAUUCUUCAGGACUUCACUCUCCUCUUUGGGUCAGAAACUGCUUCCAGACUUUUGGAAAGGUUAUCAGACUAGCAGAAACCUUGACUCCUACUCCACUGCUGAAAAGAUUACUGUCAUCUGCCAAACAGAACAGAGAAGGCAGCGAGGCACAAGAUUCCCCAGAUUUGGGACGGUGACACAUCUUCAUUCCUUCUGCUUCUGCAUCUCUUAUCACCCCAGGCUUCAGGAAGAAAGAAAAUCCAUAAGAUCAGUGUUUGUCAGGCUGUUGACCAUCUGGUGGUAUUUCACAAAACAUGCCGGAGUAUACAGGAACACCUUGAGACAGAAGAGAAUAGUCAACCAUACAUUCUUGCCUCAGGGUGCAGCAAAGAAGCCAUCAGUCAGUUCUUCAUCGUGGUUGAUAAAAAGAUCAUCCCCUGUCAAGCAUCCUCUUCACUAGCAGCAAUUGAUGAACUGUUCAAGGUCCAUUUUGUCUUCAGCAUCAGCUAUGAUCUUCCAUUCAAAAAUCUAUACACUUUUGUCCAAACUACUGUCUAUGGAAUUGAUGUUGGCACCACAAGUGAGAGCCCAAGGGUAAAGGAGCUCAGAGCUAAAUUCUUGAAUGAUAUUUAGAUGCUACAUCUGCAAAUCACUGCUUGGUACAACAGUUAAAUUAAUUCGGCACCUUAAACUUGUAUAUGGUUUGUACCCUGGGAAGAAAUUUGAGCUAGUUUAUGCUCAGGAUGGCUGUAACUUGCAAUUUAAAAGUUAUGCAGGGUUUAGAAAACAUUUAACUAGAUUUCAUUUUGGGGGUGUAGCAUCAAGUAGUGCAAAUAUAUCACUACAACAUCAACAAGCUCCAAAUCCUGAUGAAGCAGUGUCACUUGUUGUGUCUGACACAGAGCAAAGAUCAGAUAAUGAUGCAAGUUUGCAAGAUUGUUCUUCUGUUUCAAGGGAUGGUUCCAGGGAAAUGUGUGCAUCGAUAAUAGCCAAAUUGCAGGGUAAUGGUGUUGCAAACAGUUUAAUUAUGUCAGUUGUUGAAAGCAUGGAGGAUUUUGUUGAUGAUUUUCAUACAAGUUUAAGAGAGAGAAUUUUAAAUGUCGUGCCAGUUGAUAGCACAAGUAGAAGUUCAGUUGACGAAGUUUUUAAUAGUUUUCAUAAUCCGUUCUCUGAUUUUAAUACCGAUACAAAAUGGAGGAAAUAUUUCAGUGAGAAAUGGGGGGUUGUCGAGCCUAUUGAAAUGCAUUUAGGUGUCAGAUACGAUUCAAGAAGAAAUAAAAUCUCUGGAAUGUUUGAACAGAUUCCAGUUAAUGACACGUUCAUAUAUAUAUAUAUCCCUCUUCUGAAGACUCUUGUUCAUUUUUAGGAAUGAUGAAGUGUGUAAUCUCAUUCAAGGGAAAUAGCAAAGUGAUAUGUAUCGAGAUUUUUGUGAUGGACAGUAUUACAAAAACCAUCCAUUGUACUCCAUCCAUAGUGGGGAUCACUUCAGAUCCAAAUUUACUAUGAUGAUUUCGAAACAGCAAACCCAUUAGGAUCUAAACAUGGGAUUCAUAAACUUGGCUGUUUAUAUUUUGUGCUUCGAAACUUGCCACCACACAUAAAUUCUUCCUUAAUGAACAUACAUCUAAUUUCUUUGUUCCAUUCUGAAGAUGCGAAAAAAUAUGGCAUGGACAAAAUACUUGGCCCAUUAGUUGAUGAUGUGAAAGAACUUGUGCAGAAGGGAAUGAAGAUGUCAUUUUCUGAGGAGCCCGUUUUUGGGACUAUUUCGCAAAUUACCGGCGAUAACCUUGGUCUAAAUGGUAUUCUUGGUUACGUCGAGUCUUUUUCUGCAAAACAUUAUUGCAGACUUUACCUCACUGACAAGGUUUUAGCACAGGAAGUAUUUAGUGAGGAUGAUCCGCGAGUGAUGUUGCGUAACCGAAACCUAAAUGAGGAGCAUUAUAAGUAUCUUGCUGACAACCCCAACGAAAACUCUUGUUACGGUGUUAAAAGAAAUUCUAUACUCAAUACCUUGACUUACUUUAAUGUAUCUGAGAAUUUUGUGCUGGAUAUUAUGCAUGAUAUCUUGGAAGGAGUUGCACAGUAUGAAGUGAAACUGCUUUUUGAAUACAUGAGUUGCAAUCCUAUUUCUUUCAAUUCCAUUCUUCAGAGAUUAUAUGCCUUCAACUAUGGCUAUUUGGACAAAAAUAACCGUCCAACUAAGGUCAACCUUCAGCAAGCAGGAAAUGGCAUUGGACUCAAUGCAAGUCAGACAUUGUGUCUCAUUAAGAACAUCCCUCUCGUAUUUGCCACAAGCCAUUUGAUUUACGAAUGUCCUAUGGCAAUGACAGACUAUUUUACAUUAGUUUGGAUUGUUAUUUGUAAUAAAUGUGAUUGCCUGGUGUUCAUGUGCUGGAAUAAAUUUUUGAAGGAGUUA